rnacentral:rRNA from 1 species
AGUGAACGCUGGCGGUAGGCCUAACACAUGCAAGUCGAACGGCAGCACAGUAAGAGCUUGCUCUUACGGGUGGCGAGUGGCGGACGGGUGAGGAAUACAUCGGAAUCUACUUUUUCGUGGGGGAUAACGUAGGGAAACUUACGCUAAUACCGCAUACGACCUACGGGUGAAAGCAGGGGAUCUUCGGACCUUGCGCGAUUGAAUGAGCCGAUGUCGGAUUAGCUAGUUGGCGGGGUAAAGGCCCACCAAGGCGACGAUCCGUAGCUGGUCUGAGAGGAUGAUCAGCCACACUGGAACUGAGACACGGUCCAGACUCCUACGGGAGGCAGCAGUGGGGAAUAUUGGACAAUGGGCGCAAGCCUGAUCCAGUCAUACCGCGUGGGUGAAGAAGGCCUUCGGGUUGUAAAGCCCUUUUGUUGGGAAAGAAAAGCAGCAGGUUAAUACCCCGCUGCUCUGACGGUACCCAAAGAAUAAGCACCGGCUAACUUCGUG